UGGGGAAUAUUGGACAAUGGGCGAAAGCCUGAUCCAGCCAUGCCGCGUGUGUGAAGCAGGUCUUCGGAUUGUAAAGCACUUUAAGUUGGGAGGAAGGGCAGUAAGCGAAUACCUUGCUGUUUUGACGUUACCGACAGAAUAAGCACCGGCUAACUCUGUGCCAGCAGCCGCGGUAAUACAGAGGGUGCAAGCGUUAAUCGGAAUUACUGGGCGUAAAGCGCGCGUAGGUGGUUCGUUAAGUUGAAUGUGAAAGCCCCGGGCUCAACCUGGGAACUGCCUCCAAAACAGGCGAGCUAGAGUAGGGGAGAGGGUGGUGGAAUUUCCUGUGUAGCGGUGAAAUGCGUAGAUAAAGGAAGGAACACCAGUGGCGAAGGCGACCACCUGGGCUCAUACUGACACUGAGGUGCGAAAGCGUGGGGAGCAAACAGG
rnacentral:rRNA from 1 species